AUGUUUUAGACACAUUAUACAAUGUAACUUCUUCAGGAUACAGCAUUUAAAUUAAAGAUCAGUGAUCUGAAGUGGUCAUGGUGCCUGGAGACUAAAUGUGCACUUAUGGUCCUGGAUAUUGACCCCUCUGAUGGCAGUUGUGUAACUCCACUAGAGAUCAGGGAUGGCUAUGGUCAAUUCUGUGCAAUUACAGCGCAGAACACUC